CUUAGCUCAGUGGUAGAGCGCGUGGCUUUUAACCACGUGGUCGUGGGUUCGAUCUCGAUCCCCACAG
rfam:Capsicum annuum cultivar Zunla-1 chromosome 2, whole genome shotgun sequence